AAAGGAUGAAAAGAAGGGUCAAGUGAGCCGCUGAGCACCAGAAUGGACCACUGAGCGUUUAGAGCGAUUAGAGGGAAACCACUUGACGGCAAAACUGACUGUUGAGCGGUCAAAGCGGCUAGAGGGAAACCGUUGAGCGGUGAACUUAGGCGCCUGGGCGGUUGGCUGUUUUUAUUAGCUAGAUUCUGUAAUCAAAACUCAUUCUUUUGGUAGAGAGAAACGUCCAGAGCUAUUCCACACACCUUAGAGGAGGUUCCUUGGAUGCUUAGGCUCCAAUCUACCAAGUUUAGGGUUAUUUCUUUCAUUCUUUCAUCAUAUUUCAUCUAGUUUCACCAUGAUUAUGGUGAACUAAACCCUAGGUUGUUGGGGAACAAUGUAAUCUUUUGAAACUCUCAUAUA
rnacentral:lncRNA from 1 species